UGCCGGCGACCGGCGGACGGGUGCGUAACGCGUAUGUAACCUACCUUUGACAGGGGGAUAACAUCGAGAAAUUGGUACUAAUACCCCAUAACAUCACCGGAGGCAUCUUCGGUGGUUGAAAACUCAGGUGGUCAGAGAUGGACAUGCGUUGUAUUAGCUAGUUGGUGAGGUAACGGCUCACCAAGGCGACGAUACAUAGGGGGACUGAGAGGUCAACCCCCCACACUGGUACUGAGACACGGACCAGACUCCUACGGGAGGCAGCAG
rnacentral:rRNA from 1 species